rnacentral:rRNA from 1 species
UACGAAGGGGGCUAGCGUUGCUCGGAUUUACUGGGCGUAAAGCGCACGUAGGCGGCUCGUUAAGUCGGGGGUGAAAUCCUGGAGCUCAACUCCAGAACUGCCUUCGAUACUGGCGAUCUUGAGUCCGGAAGAGGUGAGUGGAAUUCCUAGUGUAGAGGUGGAAUUCGUAGAUAUUAGGAAGAACACCAGUGGCGAAGGCGGCUCACUGGUCCGGUACUGACGCUGAGGUGCGAAAGCGUGGGGAGCAAACAGG